AGUAUAGAUAUUUCUGAACCAAUGAACAAGUAAGCCUGUUAAAAAGCUGAUGUAUCAAAUAAACUGUUUCUUUUCAAGGCCAAGGAACUCCAAUGCAUUUUUGGCGAGGAGCUUAUCCUGUAAGACAAAUGAAACCAGUUCAUGAUAAAUUUAAAGCUAUCUCAUUUAUAUGGAUUUAACUAUUUCCUCAGACCAUAUUUAUUGGAUGGUUGUGUUUUUCUGCCCUUCCAUCUGAAGAUUUGAUGGGGAAUGUAUUCCCACCAAUACUUGCUGACCAUUUAAUGUUUAGCAUGGCAGUAACUAGGUAAGGAUGAAACAUUUGCCUCCAUUUGGGAGGAAGUUGCAUUUCAGAGAACUCUUGAUCACUUGGAUGGUUGGCAGUUUUGUAGCCCAGCAGCACCAAGUCGAAGCGGUGGCAACAGCUGGGACAACAGCCAGCCCCGACAAAGAGGAGGGAAUGAAGGCCAGACUGACAGUAAGUCAGGGGCAACAGGGGCAAGUGGAAUCUGGGCCUGGUGCCUUUACAGAUACAGGAGACCCCCAAAAGAAGUACCUCCCUCCUUCUACAACAGCAACCCACACACAGCUAAAGUUGUCCGGCUACCCUUUUGGAAUAGGCCUUGCCCCACCAAAAUGUAGGUGAGGUGGUUUGAAGAAUUUUGCUGUUACAGACCAAGUGAACAGGGUCGCUACUGAAACAAAAAAACAAAGAUCUGCGGAUGUGGAUGCUUGAGUUUUAAACAAAGGUCGCUGCACCCAAAACAUUGACUGUGCUUUCUAUCUCCACAGAUACCACCAGGCCUGCUGAGUUUCUCCAGCAAUUUCUGUCUUUCUUUCAGGGUUGCUGCUGGCUUUGUCUUGAAAGGAAGUGGUUUGUCCAGACCAAAAUCACUGCGAUUAAUCUACAGCCAAUCCAAAGUUUAAAACGCCUAUCAUCUGCAGCAGUGCAAAGGUUGCAACAACAACUUUGUCUGAAACACUCCAUAUACUGAAUCUUAAAAUAAAGCUCCCAAAAUUCUAACAAAUGCAACCAGUAUCCCUUUUUGAGUAGGGACCUGUUGACAUUUUUUCUUUGGAGUUUAUGAACUUUGAUAUUGGAAUUGUAUGAGUGAAUUUUCAGUGUUUGCUUUUUUGUGUCAGUUAUUUAUUUAUGGAAGUUUAUGACUCAUUAUGAGGAAAGUUGGACAGCAGGUAUUACAUUUGGUGGGGUUGUCCAAUGGAGAUGGUCAGAUUGUGAGUUGAUUUACAUCCAAACUUGAGGUGGGGAGAGGCAGAAGAUAUUUUCCCAAACCAAGGGGAACUGUAUGUUAAAUUUGAUCAGUAAUUUGAAAGCAAAUGAAUCCAAUUAACAUCUCAAGAAUAUUAAUCAUCCCAAUAAUUACAUGUCUACCAGUGCUAAUUAAUAUCCUGCCUGAGGAGAAUAGAUUACCCCUGUGUAUCCAAAUAUGCCUCUAUUAAAGAUGGGAGUGAUGUGUUGGAUUGAGUGUGGUCCCAAUCCAAAAAUUAAUUAUGUUUACUACCUAUCCUUUUCCAAUUUACCCAUUGUUGGGGUGAAAUUUUCCUUUCAUAUUUGAGAACCAAAAGAGCAACAUAUGCAGCUGACCUAGAUGUAUAUUGGAACAUUGUUCGGGAUUGAGAGUAUAAUUUUUAUCAGGCUUCCUAAACUGAGUCAGCAUCAAGGAUGGAAAGUAGCAGUUGACUUUCCAAGUAUUAAUCCUGCUGUUUCUGCACUGUAGUUAAUUUUCAGAUAAUGAUAUGUCAGUUGGCAUAAUCACUCUUUGAGUUAGGAGCUGGUAGACUAAAAGCCCAUUCCAAAUUUGGUCACAUUCUAGACUGACAUUUCAGUGCAGUACCAAAUAUUGCACAAAUUGGAGCCAAGAGAGUGGAGAAAUGUCAGAGUGGGAUCUGUAUAUGUCAGGAGUGUAUAUCAAAUCUAAGAUGACAAAAGACGCAUGUGGGAUACAAAGAGCAGAAUAAAGGCCCAGGAGUGUACAGACGGUGAGCAGGAUGGAAGUUUGACAGGAGAACAGAGAAUUAUCAUGGUGGCCAAAAUUGGGUUUUCUUUUUCAAUAAUCCAAUUGGCCUGCGAUGCAUUUAUUGUUAAUGUGGAGUGCUUAUCAUUAAUGUAGACAUGCUGUAUUAUAAUAUUAUGCACACACAAUGCUUUGAAUAAUGCAGAUCUCAACAUUAAUCUCACUUUAAGUUCAUCGCUGAAUUCUUCAAUUGAUUCAAUAAGGGUUCCUGGUUUCAGUUCUCCCAGUGGGAAUGGAUAAUCUGUCCCCAGCAUCACCUUGUCCUAAACACAAGAGACAGUUAUUGGGAUCAUGUAUAAAAUUGUUUUUUUACAGAUAAAGAUUUUAGUACAUAAUUCAACAGAAGAAAUGCUGUGGAAGCUGUAAAUCUAAAGUUAAAAGAGAAGAGGCUGGAAAUACACAGGCCAACCAAACACUUCCUUUCAGCCUGCAAGUGUGACUCUGAGAUUCCAGUUGUCUGUUGUAGUGUUCAGUUAGUCUGUGUUCAACUAAGUGAGUCACCUUGAGAUCAUAGACAUAAUAGCGUUGUUUCUCAUUUGAUGUUAGCACGGAAGUAUCUAAUUUCAGGAACAAAUUCUACUCUUAAUCUUAUCUCACUACUGUGAUAGACUUAUUCAGGUUUAUGAUGACUCAUUGAUUCUGGUUGGGGAAUGAUCGCACCUUCAGCAUACAUCACAAAGAUAUCAUCUUAAACAGGUUCAUAUUCUAUUUAGCCAAAAGCAGAGCUUUAUGGGAGUAAACCUUAACUUGGUUUCAAACUUGAAGAUGCCACUGGAGCAGACAUUAAAAUGAUUAAUAAUACAGACAAUAUAAGACAGAAUCUUCCUUAUUUUCCAGAUUUGGAGAGAUUAAUGGAUUUUGUCAAGUUCCUCUUGUGGACACAUCAUUCCUACCAGGUUGACAAAAAUUGAAAUGGUUGCUGUUUCCAAUCCAUGCUUAAUUGCCACCGGAGCUGAAGUAAUUAGAAACAGACAAUAAAACUGAGCAAAUUAGUUCAUCUUCAUGGAUAUCCAGUUCAUUCAUUGCACAAUGCAAAAAUGGUGAACUUAGACUAUACAUUGACAUUGAAAUGGUCAGCAACGUUAUUAUUACAAUUCUCCACUUACUAUGAUCCAAGACUUAUGAAUUAUUGGUACCUCUAAGAGAGCAAAGCCGAUACUUUUUGUUUUGUUACACGUGAAGGUGUGCUUCAACACUGCAGAGUGCUCUCUGAAUGAAUUUCAACAGCCAGAAGUUAAUUUAAUCAAUCUUGCCAAAUAUUAAAGGACGCUCAGUCUACUUUAUGACAUUGUUGUCUCAGGGACAGUACACAGUUUUUGGUAAUCGCUGGUACUCACUCACCUUGCAAAACUUUUUUAUGUUCAACAAGGACUUACACAUAAUUAUGGCACUCAAGAUUGACUCUUAAGGGUAUGAAGUAACAGCAGCCAGAGUAAAGUCUACAUAUGAUAAUAUUAAAACUAUUCAUGUACUUCAUCCUUUCAUAAAAAUGAAAGAAUUGUUAUUUUCCUUAAUAUUACAAAUGUUUACCACAACCUAUCUCUAAACACACAGGGAUAAUGGAGCCUAUUUGAAAGUUACUGCCAAAGGAUAUAUGGGAAUGGACGAUUGCACAGCAGACAGCAUUUGAAAUACUAAAGGCGAACAUAACAUCUGUGGCAGACCUUGUGCUUUUCAACCCACAUGCAGAAACUUAUGUCACAACUGAUACAGCAGGAAAUGCGAUAGGAGCUGUCUUUUCCCAGAAGAAGUGCUGUGAAAAGCAAGCUCUGGGAAUGAGAGAGAAACAACCGACAUAUCCAGUCUUAUCAUCAAAAUUGCUGUUUGAGCAACAAAUAAAAAUGUCAAUUCAUUUCUCUGACAACACAAUGUGGAGCUGGAGGAACACAGCAAGCCAGGCAGCAUCAGAGGAGCAGGAAAGUUGAUGCUUCCGGUCAGGACCCUUUAUAUCUCCGAGAAAAAGCUUAUGGAAUUGCAAGUUACACCCAUCCUGCAAGAUGUUUGAUGACUUUCCACUUUAACCCCUGCGAUGGGUUACAGACAGUUGCUUAUUUAGAAUGCAGAUCUUUUCAAAAACUUGUUCAUGGGAUGUCGGCGUCAUUGGCUAGGCCAGAAUGAGGUGUCCAUCCCUAAUUGCCCACUGGCCAAGUUAAGAAUCAAGUAGAUGGCCAUGCAUCUGGAGUCACAUCAAGUAAGGAAGGCAGAUUUCCUUCCCUAAAAGACAUUAGUGAACCAGAUGGAUUCUUACAACUGUCCACGAUAGUUAAAUGAUUGCAUUAGGCAAGCUUUUUAUUUCAGAUUUGAAUUAAAUCCAAAUUUCACUAUUUAUCUCAAUGGUAGCUGCUUCUGCCCAGGAGGCAUGGUCACAUGACUCCACAGUAUUGAACUCAAUUGCCUUUUUAAUUAUAAAAUUCUGAAAUAGCAGACAUGUGAAUGAAUUAGUGUUUCUCCAUAGCACAUCUACUGACAAAAUCUACACCCCAGCUCCAGCUACAAUGUAAAGAACAGCCAGCAAAAGCCUUUCAUCAAAACAGUGUAGUUGAUGUCACAAUUCAGAAAACGUUCCUCAGAAGACUUUUGAAGAAACUUUUAAAAGAGAAGAAACUCCCUACAACUCAUCAAUUUCUGGUAAACCAAUAAACUCACCCUCACAAAGGAAUUAUAAAGUACAGGUAGUUCUGCUAUAACACAUUUUUUAUUAACACGAAUUGGCUGUAAUGCGAUUGAUGAAUAGGGGUCGCUGUUUGGAUAAUGCAAAUUUUCUGCUGUACAGGUUUCGCGAUUUUCGAUAGUGAUUUCCCUAUAAUGCGAUUUUCUGUGGAGAUUUUCUAUGCAUCGAUUUUCUAUAGUGCAAGGUCAUGCAAGAAUGCAACUAUUGUGUAAUAGGAGAAUGACCUGCAACUCCAACCCAACAUUUGGGCUCCAUCUUAAAGCAAGGGCACUGGUCAUCUGGUACCUGUUGGUUGUUUUACAUUUAAAUGGUUACUGAUUGAAGAACCUAUUUAUCUGUUCAGAUUCUAUAUCUCCGUGUAUGCUUGUUAAGCGUGCUUGCGAUGUCAGAUUUUCCCUGUUGCAGAGAGUAAAAUAAACUACUUCUGGUUUAACUUUA